rnacentral:rRNA from 1 species
AGUGAACGCUGGCGGUAGGCCUAACACAUGCAAGUCGAACGGCAGCACAGUAAGAGCUUGCUCUUACGGGUGGCGAGUGGCGGACGGGUGAGGAAUACAUCGGAAUCUACUUUUUCGUGGGGGAUAACGUAGGGAAACUUACGCUAAUACCGCAUACGACCUACGGGUGAAAGCAGGGGAUCUUCGGACCUUGCGCGAUUGAAUGGGCCGAUGUCGGAUUAGCUAGUUGGCGGGGUAAAGGCCCACCAAGGCGACGAUCCGUAGCUGGUCUGAGAGGAUGAGCAGCCACACUGGAACUGAGACACGGUCCAGACUCCUACGGGAGGCAGCAGUGGGGAAUAUUGGACAAUGGGCGCAAGCCUGAUCCAGCCAUACCGCGUGGGUGAAGAAGGCCUUCGGGUUGUAAAGCCCUUUUGUUGGGAAAGAAAAGCAGCAGGUUAAUACCCCGCUGUUCUGACGGUACCCAAAGAAUAAGCACCGGCUAACUUCGUG